UUAAACAUUGAUUGCGCACGUAGUUUGUUAGACUAACCGCUAUAUAAGGACGUAACUCUAGUAAUUCCUAACUACUCAUCUAGUCAUAGAACAAGGACACACUGACAACUGCGAACCAACAGGGUUGGAUCUAUAUACGAUGACGUCCACGUGUUGCCUAGUACUAUUAGUUGUAUGUGUAGUUUUGCUGGCGGGAGUUUGGAGUGACUGCGAUAUUGGAUUAAAUGGAGGAAAGAAUUUUUGUGAAAUUGGAGGUGUAAAAUUAAGAAUAAAUGAAACAAGAGUAUUAAGUAGAACGUGUAAAGAAUGUAUGUGCUCUAAAGAAUACUGGAUUUGUUGUGGAAUGGGCUACCGGGAUGCGUCAGUGAAGGAAAGAGGGUGUUUUAUCAAGAUCUAUGAGAAUUGCUGUUAUCAAUUUGUGAAAACCUAUAAUGAAAACAUUCCAUGUUCCAGUAUGCAAUGUUUACAAAGAUCACACAAGUGAAUUAAGACUCUUUCUACGUAGACGGUAUAGUGUGAGAUGUCUACCGUAUGCAGUGUUCUAAUAUUCAAAAGUACCGGGGUCGUUUGCUAGAAAUAUAUAAAGGACGUAUCUUCUUCGUUAUGUAGCGCUAAACUUUCGAUUACAACCAAGUUGCCUUCUGUACCAUUAAAUUUUCAUUCUGGCAUGGGAAGCGGAAGUCGGUCGAUGUAUCUGUUUUAAUAUCGUAUUUGAAAGUUUAAAUAUGAAAAAAAAUAUUUUUCCAAUCUUAAUUAUAAAAUAAUAUAUCGACCCAACAAAACAAUUGAAUACAUUGACACUUUUAUUUUUCACCCAAAUGAAAAGCUGCUGCGAUUGUUCUAUGGCUCAUCUUAACUUGGUUUUGUGUUUCAAAUCUCCAUUAACUUUGUGUUGGGUAAGACUGCUCCCACAGGCGUGUCUCCAAAAAUGGGAUCUGGACCUCCUCUGCUCAAAUUCCUGUACACGUCCCAGUCACUAAGAUAAAGUCCACUGUGGCAUCGAUCUUUAGAAAACCUCAUCUGAUUAAUAUUCAGAACUCUAUUUCGUUUCGUAUAAUAAUAUUACACUUUUGUCUGCCUACACUCAAAUGUGCAGGUGAUCUAUGACUGAAUAACGUAGAUUAUUAUGAUGAACUUUUUUUUUUUUUUUAGUUCUUUACGUCUCUGUAGGUAUCUCACUAUUUCUAGAACACUCGAUUUCUCUUCGCUAUUGCGUUAUUUAUAAUCUUGACAUAUUCCUAUUUACUAUAAAAUGAUCUUGAUUUCACCCUU